UCACCUUCCUCUCGGGAAACACAAGAGAAAAGUUUCCUUUCCUGCAACAUUAUUCAUGUACUGGAGAGGUGCAAUCCGAGUUUAAAACAGGACGUAAUUAUAGAACAGCAGAACUCUUUAAUUUGCCGUGCAGUUAUAAAACCAGCAAACAUUGCUGGAGUGUCUCAUUUGUUAAACUCAACAAUACAUUAUUGUGACAACCUGAACAGUCUUUGCAGCCUGGGUGUUGGUGGGGAUUAUUUUAGUGUUUCCAACUUAAGACUUUCAUUAUAGCUCAUCUAAUUCGCUUUAAGAUCAAUCUUCUUGGCACCACCGAGAUUAACAUUCCCUGAUAACAGAAAUGCAAUAAAUUCCACCCCUGGAGCUCUGGACACUGCUGUCUUCAUCUGGAUAAGGAAAAACUUCUCAGGCACACAGUGGUCGAGGCCAGAGGUGCUCACCCACUGACCUGCUAAACUGGGGAGCUGGAAAUGCAAUUUCUGCUACUUUUCUCAUUGGAUGCAGUUUAAUCAUAGAUGUUUCCAGCUGAAAGGAAAUAUUCUGACACACAGUGUUUGAGACAGCCACGAGAAAUAUCACAAUUUGGUAACAGUGACCCUGUGAGCACCUGCUGGUUUUGGACGUGGGCACACAGGAAUGAUUUCAACUGAAAUAUUGGAGAAAGAACCAAUUUCAAUGAAUUCCCUAAUACAAAUGAUGACAUCUCAUCUGGAACUGGGACUUCAGCUGGGGCAACCUUUGCAGCAGGGUGGAACCUGCUGGGGCUCUGGCUCCUGGAGAGGGGGAGCCCAGCCGAGACACAUCACCCCUGCAGCCUCUGGAGCUGUGAGUCCAUGCAGGAGCUGUGAGGAGCGGGUGGGCACACAGGAGCCAUCCCACAACCCCACCCUGCAGCCUCUGGAAUUGUGCCCAAGACUCACUCUGCUUCCCUGGCAGAUCUGUUUUUAAUGGCUUUGAAAGAACCAAAGUGCCACCCGUGUUAGGAUGUUCAGGAGCCUGGAAGGGCGCUGAGGGGAUGGAGGGGAUGUGUCCUCCUGAGGCUGGACACUCCCUGUCCCUUCCUGCCAUUUGUCCCCCAUCCCAGUGGCACCUGCACCCCAAGGGCAGCCUGCAAACCUUGGGGCAAGGCUCUUGCACAGAUCACCAUGUCUGUCUCCAGGCUCCUUGCAAUUUGUUUCUCCCAAAAUUUUUCCCAUGGGGAGCCCACCCUGCAAGCUCCUUCCUGGCAAGGAGUUCCCUCUGGAAUUCAGAGAGGAGCACGUGCCUGUGCCUGGCUCCUCAGUGCCAUGUCCACAGAAAUGAGCUCCCUCUAAGAUACAGGGGGAUGUAUUACUCAGAAAGAAACAGAAAAUAUCCCAAAAGAUGGAUUUAUAGGUUUAUGGUUUUGGAGACACUCCCCCUCUUUUCCUCCCGCAGCCUGUGGGGGUUCAGAGCUGAGCUGGGUGGGAUCUCCCAGCUCUUCCCUUCCUCAGCUCCAUUUCUCCUCCACCCUAUUCAUCUCUAGUCCCAUUUCCAAGCAAUACUCCAAUAACAACAGGUCUGCAUUUGUUUCUUUUUUCCUUCUGUGUCAUUUCUCCAUCCAGCUUACAAUUUUGGCGGCAAUUUAACAGCCUUUA